GUCAAUACAACAGAGGUUCAGAAACCCAUUUAUUAAAGAAAAUAAGUGACAGAACAAUCCACAGAUGGAAAAGAAAUAUUCCAAGUGCAUAUAAUCAACAUGGAAUUCAAAUCCAGAAUGUGUAGGUGUGUGUGUGUGUUGGUGGUGGUGCAAAAGUAAUUGCAUUUUUGGACCAUUAAUUUUAAAUCAUUAUAACUAGGCUCAAACACAUCUUUAUUAAUCAAAAUAGGAACCAUUACAAUCAACACUUUUUUGCCAACGAGAAAUAAAUUUGUUUAUUCCUGCAGCAUAAACAUCCAUGCUUCUGGAUUCAACAAACUCUUGGAAAGCAUUUUUCUGCAUCCUGCUGGUGUGGAAGCAUUUCACCUGCAAAAAGCUGUCAAGAUGCUUCAAGAAGUGAAGCAUCCAAUGGCUGGCCACUGUGUUCCUCAUAUUCAAGGCUCUAGUCUGCUUUGCAAAACUUCUUGAAUCACAGCUGCCCUGUAUGUUCGUUAGUAGUUCCUGGGCCAAAUGCGCUGUUCAUGUUUCAAGUUAUCUCUGCUGCGUUAUGACCCAUUUUGAACUCAAAUAAGAAAACCACUUGAAGUUGCUUUUUGUCUAAUAUCAUUUCCAUAGUACCAGAAAAUGUCACACGACAGGGACGUUAAUCCAUUAGUCUAUUUUUUUCACUUGUAUUUGUCUUUUUCUUUAUAUGUCCUUCUUUCUCAUUUUGGGCGUUGGUUCAUGU
rnacentral:lncRNA from 1 species